rnacentral:rRNA from 1 species
GUCGAACGGUAAGGCCCUUCGGGGUACACGAGUGGCGAACGGGUGAGUAACACGUGGGUAAUCUGCCCUGCACUUCGGGAUAAGCCUGGGAAACUGGGUCUAAUACCGGAUAUUCAGCUUUCACCGCAUGGUGGUGGUUGGAAAGUUUUUCGGUGCAGGAUGAGCCCGCGGCCUAUCAGCUUGUUGGUGGGGUAAUGGCCUACCAAGGCGACGACGGGUAGCCGGCCUGAGAGGGUGAUCGGCCACACUGGGACUGAGACACGGCCCAGACUCCUACGGGAGGCAGCAGUGGGGAAUAUUGCACAAUGGGCGAAAGCCUGAUGCAGCGACGCCGCGUGGGGGAUGACGGUCUUCGGAUUGUAAACCCCUUUCAGUAGGGACGAAGCGCAAGUGACGGUACCUGCAGAAGAAGCACCGGCCAACUACGUGCCAGCAGCCGCGGUAAUACGUAGGGUGCGAGCGUUGUCCGGAAUUACUGGGCGUAAAGAGCUCGUAGGCGGUUUGUCGCGUCGUCCGUGAAAACUCGGAGCUUAACUCCGAGCUUGCGGGCGAUACGGGCAGACUUGAGUACUACAGGGGAGACUGGAAUUCCUGGUGUAGCGGUGAAAUGCGCAGAUAUCAGGAGGAACACCGGUGGCGAAAGCGGGUCUCUGGGUAGUAACUGACGCUGAGGAGCGAAA